rnacentral:rRNA from 1 species
GAUGAACGCUGGCGGCGUGCCUAAUACAUGCAAGUCGAGCGAACGGACGAGAACCUUUCUUUUCGGAUGUUAGCGGCGGACGGGGGAUUAAUACGUGGUUAACCUACCUAUCCGACUUGGAGAAUUUCGGCAUACCGGAGUGAAUACCGCAUGAUAUUCUGAAUCGCAUGGUUCAUGAGUGUGAGACGGUCUUGCUGUCACUUGUAGAUGGACUCGCGCUGCAUUAGCUAGUUGGUGAGGUAACGGCUUACCAAGGCGCCGAUGAAUAGCCGACCUGAGAGGAUGAUCGGCCACACUAGAACUGAGACACGAUCCAGAAGACUACGGCAGGCAGCAGUAGGGAAGAUUACGCAAUGGGCGAAGGAAUGCCGGAGCAACGCCGCGUGAGUGAUGAAGGUCUUCGGCGCGUAGAAAUCCGUUAUCGGGGAAGAACAUAUGUGGACGUGAUUGUGCAUAUCUUGACGGUACCUAAUCAGAAAGCCCCGGCUAACUACGUG